CUGACGACAAUGACUGAAGACAGGGAAGAAUGAACAUCUACCUCUCUGCAUAACAGAUUUGAAAAAACCUAUUUCCUCCCCCUAAUUUGCUUUGGGGUCUGUGUCAUUGAAGAGUAACGUCAACUGCUAACACAUGUCAGUGACUGGAUGUAUGGCAUCUACAGCAGUGCUUGGCCACCCACUCAGUUACCAGUGACAUAUUCUGGCACAUCCCAGGGAAAGGAGAGAUCAGAACCACCCCUCCUUAAAUCCAUACUCAUUUACAGUGCAAAACCCUUGUCCUGAUUCUUCUCCAACACGGCUCAGGGGCAUAUUUGGGGACUUUUCAGAGGGCCCGCAACACUUCAUGACACUUACUGUAAGCAUAAAACAUUUAAAUUAACGAUUUGCAUAAUGUGGGCAUGCAGGAUACGACAUAACAGUAACGUGCGGUAAAAUAUAUUUAACAGUCAGAAUCUACUAAAAGUGGUAGCAAAGGCAUGUUUGCUCCUCUGUCCCUUCAUAUUGAAGUGGGACAUUCAUUAAUUGGUAAUCAAUCUGAAACAUUAAGAAAGAGGAUUUUAAAAUUUGACAGUUGGAUAAGGAAAAUGUUUAACACCUCUCUAAAUGGUAAAGUUUUGCUUAAUAAUAAUACAUGAUGUAAUAUUCUAACAACUUUUUAUAAACACACCGCUCCAUAAUCCUGAGGACAUUGUCUAGGACAGAGGUUCUCCAAUUGAGGACAGCUUGGCAGUCUUAAAAGAAGAAAGUUAUAUACAAACAUAUCUGACCCAUCACAUGACUCUUCAAGAGGGCCACUACGCUCCAGAUCGCCUUCUGUGCUCAGAGGUCCUUGAUGAGGAUCUACCUCUUCACACCACUCUUAUUAAAUCAAAUAAAUCAAUGGGCCUUUAUGUACUCCCAGUAUUUCUAUGCAUGUAAUUUCUGUGGGUGAAUUAUGGAACAAUUGCUGUACAG